rnacentral:ncRNA from 1 species
CUUGAAAAGUGCGGAUUGUAGUUGAUGAAGGCAAAGCCCCGCGCUUGGUCAAUGGUGUGAAAAAGCGGGUUCCAGUCAAACAAGACCAGCAUCUUAUGCGGCAGCAGGUUCGCCACGAACAUCUUGCCCGAGGCAAUCAUAUUGGCCCGCGC